rnacentral:rRNA from 1 species
UGCGUAGGCGGUGCGGUAAGUCUUCUGUGAAACCUCCGGGCUUAACUCGGAGCCUGCAGGGGAAACUGCCGUGCUGGAGUAUGGGAGAGGUGAGUGGAAUUCCCGGUGUAGCGGUGAAAUGCGUAGAUAAUCGGGAGGAACACCUGUGGCGAAAGCGGCUCACUGGACCAUUACUGACGCUGAAGCACGAAAGCUAGGGGAGCAAACAGGAUUAGAUACCCUGGUAGUCCUAGCCCUAAACGAUGAUCGCUUGGUGUGACAGGUACCCAAUCCUGUCGUGCCGGAGCUAACGCGUUAAGCGAUCCGCCUGGGGAUACGGGUCGCAAGGCUAGAAA